AGCUUUGUGCAGUGGCAGUAUCAUAGCAAAUGAGGUUUAUUCGAGGCGCGUACUGCUAAUUGAAAACUUUUCCCAAUACCCCACCAUGACAACUUGAAAUACAGUCGGCAUUGGCAAUUUUUGGCAAUCUCUACAGGGA
ensembl:snRNA U4 U4 spliceosomal RNA